GACGAACGCUGGCGGCGUGCCUAAUACAUGCAAGUCGGACGCAGAUGCGAACGGGUGAUUAACGCGUCGGUAACUACCUAUUAAAGGGGGAUAACUACUGGAAACGAUAGCUAAUACCGCCUACUAGUAGAUUGACCUGCGUUGUAUUAGGUAGUAGGUAGGGUAAAGGCCUACCUAGGCAAACAUACAUAGCCGACCUGGGAGGGGUGUCGGGCAAACUGGGAAUGGGAAACGGGCCAGACUCCUAAGGGAGGGAGGAGGAGGGAAACUUCGGAAAUGGGGGGAACCCUGACCACGCAAAGGCGCGGGGUUGAAGAAGGGUUUCGGAUCGUAAAGCUCUGUUGUUAAGGAAGCGGUACUUAACCAGAAAGGGACGGCUAACUACGUGCCAGCAGCCGCGGUAAUUC
rnacentral:rRNA from 1 species